GCAACAUUGCUUAUUGUUAUUAGCAUUAAAGUAGUAGUGGUGGAUAUAUUUAGGGUAAAGCACAACCCUUCCAAAAUGCAUCAUCCGAUUUACUUUAUUCUGGUAAAGGAAACAUUUUAGCUUGUAGCUGUGGCUUUCAGGACAGAGGAGCAGACGUGUUACGAGUUUUUGCAACCAUCUUUAAGAAUGGAAAAGUUCAAGGAAGAUAUAUUUUGUACAUUUACUGUUAAACUGUAAUCUUGUUUUAAUGUAUUGUCACAAAAAAAGAAUGUUAUUUAACCAUUGUAAUAUUAUACAGUAAAAUAAAAUGGCUACAUGUG